rnacentral:rRNA from 1 species
GACGAACGCUGGCGGCGUGCCUAAUACAUGCAAGUAGGACGCACAGUCUAUACCGUAGCUUGCUACACCAUAGGCUGUGAGUUGCGAACGGGUGAGUAACGCGUAGGUAACCUGCCUAUUAGAGGGGGAUAACUAUUGGAAACGAUAGCUAAUACCGCAUAACAGUAUGUAACACAUGUUAGAUGCUUGAAAGAUGCAAUUGCAUCGCUAGUAGAUGGACCUGCGUUGUAUUAGCUAGUAGGUAGGGUAAAGGCCUACCUAGGCAACGAUACAUAGCCGACCUGAGAGGGUGAUCGGCCACACUGGGACUGAGACACGGCCCAGACUCCUACGGGAGGCAGCAGUAGGGAAUCUUCGGCAAUGGGGGGAACCCUGACCGAGCAACGCCGCGUGAGUGAAGAAGGUUUUCGGAUUCGUAAAGCUUCUGUU